AGCGUAGGCGGACAUUUAAGUCAGGGGUGAAAUCCCGGGGCUCAACCUCGGAAUUGCCUUUGAUACUGGGUGUCUUGAGUAUGAGAGAGGUAUGUGGAACUCCGAGUGUAGAGGUGAAAAUUCGUAGAUAUUCGGAAGAACACCAGUGGCGAAGGCGGCUUACUGGUCCAUUACUGACGCUGAGGUGCGAAAGCGUGGGGAGCAAACA
rnacentral:rRNA from 1 species